rnacentral:rRNA from 1 species
UUGAACGCUGGCGGCAUGCCUUACACAUGCAAGUCGAACGGCAGCACGGGGGCAACCCUGGUGGCGAGUGGCGAACGGGUGAGUAAUAUAUCGGAACGUACCCUAGAGUGGGGGAUAACGUAGCGAAAGUUACGCUAAUACCGCAUACGACCUACGGAUGAAAGCGGGGGCUCGCAAGACCUCAUGCUCAUGGAGCGGCCGAUAUCUGAUUAGCUAGUUGGCGAGGUAAAGGCUCACCAAGGCGACGAUCAGUAGCUGGUCUGAGAGGACGACCCGCCACACUGGGACUGAGACACGGCCCAGACUCCUACGGGAGGCAGCAGUGGGGAAUUUUGGACAAUGGGGGCAACCCUGAUCCAGCAAUGCCGCGUGAGUGAAGAAGGCCUUCGGGUUGUAAAGCUCUUUUGUAAGGGAAGAAACGGUGAAGGCGAAUAUCCUGUGCUAAUGACGGUACCUGAAGAAUAAGCACCGGCUAACUACGU